UACAGAGGGUGCAAGCGUUGUUCGGAAUUAUUGGGCGUAAAGGGCGUGUAGGCGGUCUGCUAAGUCAUGUGUGAAAUCCCUCGGCUUAACCGAGGAACGACGCAUGAAACUGGCAAGCUAGAGUACCAAAGAGGGGGUGGAAUUCCCGGUGUAGCGGUGAAAUGCGUAGAUAUCUGGAGGAACACCGGUGGCGAAGGCGACAUCCUGGACCGGUAUUGACGCUGAGGCGCGAAAGCCAGGGGAGCAAACGGG
rnacentral:rRNA from 1 species